AUUGAACGCUGGCGGCAUGCCUUACACAUGCAAGUCGAACGGCAGCACGGGAGCAAUCCUGGUGGCGAGUGGCGAACGGGUGAGUAAUAUAUCGGAACGUGCCCAGUGAUGGGGGAGUAGCCCGGCGAAAGCCGGAUUAAUACCGCAUACGACCUACGGGUGGAAAGACAGGGGAGUCGCAAGACCUUGCGUCAUUGGAGCGGCCGAUAUCAGAUUAGCUU
rnacentral:rRNA from 1 species